rnacentral:lncRNA from 1 species
AUUUGAAUAAUGGAAAACAAGAAAACCAGUCAGAGUAGUGGGGAAAAUAGAAUGACAACAAUAUGUCAGGAAGAAGAGAACUAUGUCCGAAUGAGUUUGUUGCUGUCUGGAAUCUCCCCUCGUGCAGUACGAGUUUUGCUCCAUCUUGUUUAGCAGCAUCUGUUAAGAAAGAAACCAACAAAUUAAAAGACCUCAAACAGAAAAGACUAAUCAACCAGUCUCAGUGGGAC